GGGGGGGGGGGCGGGGGGCGGCCCCGGUUCGGAAGACGGGGCUCGGAGCGGGUGGUCUCCCCUCCUUCCCUCCCCGCCUCCCUCCCCGCCUCCCGGCCGGACCUCGAGGGUGGGCCAGCCGGGCGGCGGUGCCGGGUGCGGGGGUCCCCCCGGCCGCUCCCCGCCCUUACUGACCUGGGCCCGGGGCUGUAGGGGCUGCGGGAGCGUCGCCAGCUGCCGCCGCCGUAGGGUCCGGGGGAGGCGUCGCCGCCCCCUCCGCGCUCGUAGGAGCUGUGGCGGCUGUAGCUGGGCGAGCGGCGGCGGCCGUAGGGGCUGGGGGAGCGGGGCUGCGGCCUCCGCGAGUACGGGGGGCUGCCGCCGGGCCCGGAGCCCGAGCCCGAGCCCGAGGCGGGCGGGGAGCCGGGGGACUUGCGGCCCCGCGGGCCCUGCGCGGCGCGGUGGGGGCUGUGGCCGUGGCCGUGGCCGUCGUCGCGGGCCCCGGCCGGGCUGAGGGACCUCCGCGCCGGCUGGGACGACGACGACGACGACGACGACGAGGUGGCGGGCGGCGGCGGCGGCUGGCGGCGGCGGUAGGCCUUGGGCUCGGGCUUGUCAUCGCGGUAGGCCUUGGGCGGCUCCUUGUAGGCGGCCGGCGGCUCCUUGGCCGACGACUUAGUCCGGCUGCGGCGGGGCUUGGAGUCCCGCUCCUUGCGGCCGCCGCUCCCGGCCGAGGCGCUCUUCCUGCGGGCGGCCGAGGAGGAGGAGGAGGAGCGGGCGGGCUCGCUGCGCUCGUCGCCGUCGGCGGCCGGGUGUCGGCCGCGGGCCUUGGACGAGUCCGAGCCCCCGCGCUGGCCGUCCCUGCGGCGGUGCUCGCGGUGGCGGUCCUUGCCGCGGCCGCCGGCGCUGCGAUGGUCCCGGCGGGGCCGCCGCUCCGCCCCGUCCCCGCGUCGCUGGCCGCCCGACGACGAGGCGGGGCUGCCGGGCCCCGACCCGGCCCCGGACGGGGAAGCGGCAGCGGCGGCGGCGGCGGCGUCCUCGUAGCCGCCGGGAGGGCUGAGCCCGCCGCCGCUGCUCCCGGGGCCGCCGCCCCCUCCGCCCGCGCCGCCGCCCCCGCCGCCCCCGCCUCCGGCCUGCCGCCGCUGCUGCUGCUGCUUGGGCGGCGGCGGCGGCGGCGGGGGCGGGGGCGGGGGCGGGGGGGGCGGCGGCGGCGGCGGGGGGGGCGGCGGCGGCGGCAGCGAAAAGGCCCGGCGCUUGUCGGCCUCCUGCCCGGCGCGGGCCCCGCGGCGCCGCUUCUGCCGGCCCCCCGCGCGCCUCUUCCCCCUGGCCAGCCGCUUCACCUCCAGCGGGGGCCCGGGGCUGAAGCAGGAGGAGGAGGCGGCGGCGGCGGCGGCGGCUGCGGCGGCGGCGGCGGCCGCGCCGGGGGCCGUGAGGAACAGCAGCGGCGGCGGCGGCGGCGGAGGCCCACCCCCCCCUCCUCAACCCGCUCCCGCUCCCGCUCCUCCUCCGCCGCCGCCUCCGGGCGGAGGCCCCGCCACCCCCCCGCCCACCCCCGGGGGCGGCAGGAGCUGCGGCUGCAGGAGCGGCAGCAGGAGCGGCGGCUGCUGCGGGGAGAGGAAGCGCCUCCGCUUGCGGCGCUCCUCCAGCUUCUUCUCGGCCCAGCUCAGGCCCCCGCCCCCGCCCCCGCCCCCGCCCCCCCCCAGCGCGCUGUCCGAGCUGCUCGGCAUCGGGGCGGUCGCCGGCGCCCGCCUCACAGCGGGGCCAUGUCCUCCGCCCGGGACCGGCCGGGGCCCGCGCUCUCUCCUCCUCUUCAGUCCUCCUCCUCCUCCUCCUCUCCUCCUCCUCCUCCUCCUCCAGGCGACGAUGGAGCCGGGCCGGGGCGGCGCACGGCGGCCUCUCUUCUCCCGCCGCCCGCGGCCUGUCCGGAUCCGGGCGGGCCGACGCGGAAGCAGCGCCUCCUCCUCCUCCUCGUCGUCGUCGUCGUCGUCGUCGUUCCUUCUUCGCCCUUCUCCUCAGUCCGUGGCUGAGGCGUCCGGACACGGACGGAGGGGGGAGGGGGGGAUGGCGGCCUUCCUGACGCGAUGGGUCGGGGCGGAGACGCUCCGGGCUGCCGCUGCCCCUUCCUCCUCCUCUGCCUCCUCCUCGUCGUCGGCGUCGUCGUCGUCUUCCUCCUGGGUCGGGUCCCGGUGCGGACGGUUCCCUGUGGUGGGCGCGGGCCCCGCCCUCGGCGGGGGGCGAGCGGGGGGCGGGAGGGAGGGAGGGCCGGGCCUCCCCGGUUGGCUCCCUGCCCCUUCGCCCUCACGCCCGCGGGGCCGCGCACGCUGGGCACGCUCAGGGCGACGACGUGGGGCGGGGCCGGGACGCGGGAGCGAGCACGGCCCCCCACGGCCUCUCUUGCAGGCGCCACGCCGGAAGUGACGUGGGCGCCUCCCCGGAAGUGGGGCUGAGAGGCCCAGCCGGUCCUCCGCCUCCUCUCCCCCCUCCCCUCCUUCCCCCUUUAAUAAAUGGCAUUCAAGGGUGGUAUUUGUUAAGCGCUUAGUGUGUGCUGAGCACUGUUCUAAGCGCUGGGGGAGACACGGGGGCAACAGGUCGUCCCCCGUGAGGCUCAUUCAUUCAUUCAUUCAUUCAUUCAUAAUAAUAAUAAUGUUGGUAUUUGUUAAGCGCUUACUAUGUGCAAAGCCCUGUUCUAAGCGCUGGGGGAGAUUCAGGGUCAUCAGGUUGUCCCACGCGAGGCUCACAGUCUUAAUCCCCAUUUUACAGAUGAGGGAACUGAGGCCCAGUGAAGUGACUUGCCCACAGUCACACAGCUGACAAGUGGCAGAGCUGGGAUUCGAACUCAUGACCUCUGACUCCAAAGCCCGUGCUCUCUCCACUGAGCCACGCUUCAAUAGCAUUUAAUGAGCGCUUACUGUGUGCAGAGCACUGGACUAAGCGCUUGGAAUGAACAAGUCGGCAACAGAUAGAGACAGUCCCUGCCCUAUGACGGGCUUACGGUCUAAUCGGGGGGAGACGGAAAGACAAGAACGAUGGCAAUAAAUAGAGUCUUCAUCCCCAUUUUACAGAUGAGGGAACUGAGGCACAGGGAAGAAGAAGAAUGGUGGGAGGUGUUAAGCGCUUCCUGGGUGCAGAGCACCGUUCUCAGCGCUGGGGCGGAUACAGGGGAAUGAGGUCGUCCCACGUGGGGCUCACAGCCUUCAUCCCCGUUUUACAGGUGAGGGAACUGAGGCACAGAGAAGAAGAAGAAUGUUGGGCUUUGUUAAGCGCUUACUGGGUGCAGGGCACUGUUCUAAGCGCUGGGGGAGAUACAGGGUCACCAGGUUGUCCCACGUGAGGCUCACAGUCUUCAUCCCCAUUAUCCACAUAAGGGAACUGAGGCACAGAGAAGUGAAGUGACUUGCCCAAAGUCACACAGCUGACAAGUGGCGGAGCCAGGAUUAGAACCCACAACCUCUGACUCCCCAGCCCGGGCCUUUUCCACCGAGCCGUCCAUUGGGCGAUCCCCGGGCAGUUGAGAAGCGGCCCCCUCCGGCCUCUUGGGUCCCCCGGGGCGGCCAGCCCCCAUCAGGAACAGCGUCACUCGGUGGGGAGCGUGGGGUCCUGGGUGUCCAAGGACCUGGGUUCGACUCCCGCCUCUGCUCCUUGUCCGCUCUGUGACCUCGGGCAGGUCGCCUGCCUUCUCUGGGCCUCAGUUCCCUCCUCUGUGGAAUGGGGAUGAAGACUGGGAGCCCGCCCCGUGGGACCACCUCAUGACCUUGUAUCCACCCCAGCGCUUAGAACAGGGCUCGGCACAUAGUAAGCGCUUAACAAAUACCGUCAUUAUUAUUAUUUUCUUGUCAGCAGUCAGGCAUCAAUACCAUCAAGAUAAACAGAAUCAUAGCUGUACCUACACCUCAUUAAUAAAAUAGAGAAAUAAAUAAUAUAGACAAAUAUGCACAAGUGCUGUGGGGAGGGCAAGUCACUUCACUAAUCUGGGCCUCAGUUACCUCAUCUGUGAAAUGGGGAUUCAAUACCAAUGUUCCCUCCUUUCAUUCUAUCAGUCAUUCAUUCAUUCAAUCAUUCAUUCAUUCAUUCAAUCAUAUUAAUGUUGGUAGAUGUUAAGCGCUCACUAGGUGCCAAGCACUGUUCUAAGAGCUGGGUUACAUACAAGGUAAUCAUUUUGGUAUUUGUUAAGCACUUACGAUGUCCCCAGCACUGUUCUAAGUGCUGGGUAGAUACAAGGCAAUCAGGU
rnacentral:lncRNA from 1 species